rnacentral:rRNA from 1 species
GACGAACGCUGGCGGCGUGCUUAACACAUGCAAGUCGAGCGGUAAGGCCCUUUCGGGGGUACACGAGCGGCGAACGGGUGAGUAACACGUGGGUGACCUGCCUUCAGCUCUGGGAUAAGCCUGGGAAACGUGGGUCUAAUACCGGAUAUGACUCCAUGAUGCAUGUUGUGGGGUGAAAGCUUUGCGGCUGGAGAUGGGCCCGCGGCCUAUCAGCUUGUUGGUGGGGUGANGGCCUACCAAGGCGACGACGGGUAGCCGGCCUGAGAGGGCGACCGGCCACACUGGGACUGAGACACGGCCCAGACUCCUACGGGAGGCAGCAGUGGGGAAUCUUGCGCAAUGGGCGAAAGCCUGACGCAGCGACGCCGCGUGAGGGAUGA